GUAGAUCCUCUGAGUUCAAGACCAGCCUGCUGUAUGUAGUGAGUUCCAGAACUCACUCUCUCUCUCUCUCUCUCUCUCUCUCUCUCUCUCUCUCUCUCUCUCUCUCACACACACACACACACACACACACACACACACACACACACACGAAAGUAUAUAUCACUAAGAACAGAGAAAUGCAGGCGAAAUGUGGGUGGGGUGGAGGCCAUAUGUGCAAACUCAAGAAGUGACAAGACAUGCUGACCUCUGGGCCACUGACCACUCUGCACAGGGGCUUUCUACCUGCCAGUCUGCAACCCACCAUUCAGUUUUUCAUAGUUGUACAUCAAUAGUAACACAAUUUCUGUCUGUCACUUCAGAAAUGUAAAUGACCCUAAGGCCAUGAGGAAUGUUUGCUUUGCACUCUGGAGAACUCAAAAUCCACACCCAGCCGUGACUACCGUGCAGACACUCAAUGAUGAAUACACUGGAGUUAAAAUGCUACUUCAUGUUUCCUCUACGUGGUUCCACACACUCCAUUUCUCGAUUCCAGGGAAGUCUCUCUAGCGAGUCACAUCUGGAGAUUUAUUCCCCACUCUAACUAGCACUUCUAAAUAGCACGUGUUUGAUUUUGUUUGCCUUUCUCGAGACAGUGUUUCCCUGUGCAGCCCUGGUUGUCCUAGAACUCCCUCUGUAGACCAGGCUGUCCUCGAACUCACAGAUCCGCCUGCCUCUGCCUCCUGAGUGCUGGGGUUAAAGGCGUGUGCCACCAGGCUCACCUGGACUGAUAAUUUCUAACUUUCCUUUGUGCUGAAACAGUCGGGUUCCAUUUCUCUUCACUGCCUUCUCUGUCUUCUUAGACGCUUGGGCAGGAUUUUCCUUUUUCAUUCCAGACACAUCACUUAAGAACCGAUACCUGAAGCUUCCAAAACGUUGUGUCGCAAAGACGCCCUUGUCUGUGACGUUACCACAGGAUAUUGCAUCCCUUCCUGAUCGGCUUUUGAUUUUCAUUUGUUUUUUAUUUUGUUGUAAUUUUCCCAGUUGACUGAGCCUCUGCAAACAGCCACCUUCCAUACAAUGACAACACUGCAAGGUUUGCUUUCUCUCUGAGGUUCUAGGCCCUCCACAUGACCCAGGCCAGCGCCCACAGAACAGUUCCUCAGCCACUUCUGGCCUUGCGGUGACAUGUGGUCCUACAGUGCAGCAACUCUUCAGUUGCUCUCCCACAGGGACAAUAUCCCAAAUACACUCAGAACCUGCUUUAUUAAAUACUGUGUUCAACCAUUCCCGAAGUAUCUGGAGUCACACAAGCACUAGGGGUUCUUGAAGACACAGUGCUGCCCCCAGGUUUUUGCCAAACACCGUCAUUUGAUGGUGUUCGAGUGUCCCUAGGUCUGCACCGCCCUGGCUGGCCCUCACUCUGCUGCUCAGGUUUCACGAUUGUUCCCCCUUCUCUCUUUUUAAUCGUGUGUGUGUGUGUGUGUGUGUGUGUGUGUGUGUGUGUGUGUGUAAGAGAGAAAGAGAGCACACAGGAACAUGGGUACCACCAUGUGUUGUGUGUGUGUGUGUGUGUGUGUGUGUGUGUGUGUGUGUGUGUAAGAGAGAAAGAGAGCACACAGGAACAUGGGUACCAUGGUGUGUGUGUAGGUCAGAAGAUAACUUUGGGAAUCUGUCUUCAUCUCCAUCUUGCUCGAGGCAGGGUCUUUUAGUGUUCAUCACUGAGUACCCCAGGCUAGCCUCUGGGCUUUCUCCUGAUAACCUCCCAUUUUACAUACAUGAGCUUCUAUAUGGGUGCUGAGGGAUAUGAACUCAAGUCUCCUUGCUUGCACAGCAAGCACUUACUCAGUAGCCAUCUAUCUGCCUCCCCUCUGCCCCGCUCCUCGCCAAUGGCCUCAUUUGUGUAUCCCCCUGAGUCUACCUCACAAGUACUAUAACUACAGUGGUGUACAUUAUGCUUCAUGGCCCUUGCGGGUUGUUGUUGUUGUUAUUUAAAUAUUUUCUUUGUUGUUUGUUUGUUUUUAAGACAGAGUUUCUCUGCAAAGCUGUCCUGGAACUUGCACUGUAGACCAGGCUGAACUUGAACUCACAGAUCCACCUGCCUCUGCCUCCGAAGUGCUGGGACUCAAGGCGUGAGCCACCACUGCCUGGCUUAAAGGAUGUUUUCUAAAUAUAGCGGUAAGUGCGUUUCCCUUUUCUAGGAAUAAUGACACAUAUUCCUAAUAACGAGUUUCCUUUCAGACUGUUUAUUGGUGAGUAUUACCGCAGGAUUCAGCCAGCAAAACAUAAGGCAAAAUCAAAGCCAGACACAGAGAACUUUGCAUUCUCUCUCUGCCCUCCCACCCUCCGUCUCUCCCUCCUUCCUUUCUCCCUUUUCUUCCUCCCUUCCCUCUCCUCCUGAAUCCCCAGCAUGUGACUAGAGAGGGACUGGAACUCCCAAUCCCUCUGCCUCUCCUCCCAAGUGCUGGCACGGUGGUCAUAGCCCACAUCAGCUUCAGUGGCUCUGGUCCCCUGAGAGCCACAGAGAGAAUGGACAUAGCUGGUGGCCUGAGGCUGAGGGAUGGGGCGGCUGCUUAGUGGGAGUCUUUUUGCAGGGGUGAGGUGGGGGUGGCUAAACAUGUUUUGUAACUAGUUGGGCAUGAUGCUUCCACCAAGACAACCCCUACCCCAUGCCAGCGCCUGGCUCACAGAAGCGUGAGUGCUGUGUGAGGUUCACCUCAGUAAACUGUGCCUUAAAAACAACCAAACAAAACAAUUCCUUUAAAAAAAAAAGUAUGGACUGGAGAGAUGGCUCAGUGGUUAAGAGCACUGACUGUUCUUCCAGAGGUCCUGAGUUCAAAUCCCAGCAACCAUGUGGUAGCUCACAGCCAUCUGUAAUGAGAUCUGAUGCCCUCUUCUGGUGUGUCUGAAGACAGCGACAGUGUACUCAUAUAGAAUAAAUAAACCUUUAAAAAAAUAUGAUUGGCUUUCAAGGAGACUUUGAUGUGAGGUCUGAAAUGCUGGUGGGGUUGGGGUGCUAGGUGCUUGACAGUUUCCUGCCCUGGGGCGCCCUCCCUCUUGACCUGGCGUGAAUCCAGCCUUAGUGAGGUCUAGAGGAGAGGACCCUCUUUGGAAUGUAACCUCCCUAAGUGGGCCUUACUUUCUUCAUCUGGAAAAUGUGGGCUGCACCCCGUGCUGGACCCCACAAACCUGACUGGUUUUCAUUUAGUCAGACUUGGCCUCCAGAUGUACUGGGAUUCCAGACAUGCGGCCCCACACCUGUCUUCCCUGAGGCUCCUGUCUCACAGAUUGAACCCUCACACAGGAAGCCACCCUCAGCCCUGAUGGGACCACAAGUGAUGGCUUGGCGGGGACUCUGCCCUGUGGCCCAGGGAUCAUACACAAAGGCCUGGGAGGGUACACUGACUGACUCUCAGAGUGACUCUCGGAAUACACCUCUUCUAUCUAUCCCUGGCUCCGCCCUGCCUGACUUACCUCCUUUCUGAUCUUCUGGCUUCAGCCCAUCUCCCUCGUCCACAACUCUGCCCCCUGAGAGAUGGAAUAAGGGAUCUUAUACAAUCUCAGUCAGUCCCACAUCUCCUCUGCCCAGAACCUUCCCCGUUCCCAUCUCUUCCACAGUAAAAGCUAAAGUUCCCCCUCCUCGGUGGAAGGCCUAAGUGUCCCUCCGCCAGGGACAGUGUCUUGCCGUGGCUCACGCACACCAGGCUUCUACCCCAGGGCCCUUGCACCUGCUGUUCUCAGGCCCUGUACCACCCACCCUCUGUCACCUCCUCUCUGCAGGCCUCCAUUCAAAUGCUACUUGCUCCAGAAGCCUGAUCUCUCAGAGGCUGCCAGUCUCCGGAAGUCUCUUCUUCCUUAGCAAACUUCUUGGCUGGGGUCCUGGGCCCAGCCCCAUGACUCAGAAUCUAGACAUGCUUCCAGGCCUCCGCUGGAUUUGGGCCGUCAGCCGUGGGGGCAGGUGGUGCCUGGCAGUACCUGGCACGGAGACCUCAGCCAGAGUCCAGCUGUGGGAGGCAACCAUGUCCAUUCACCCAGGCUUCCGGGGUACAGGUGGGAAGGCAUUGCGUCCCCCCACCCAGGCUCACCUGACUUCACUAACAGCCUCUCACCCUGGCUGCCCUGCCCUGAGGGAGAAGCUGAGGCUCAUCUGGGCCCCAGGUUGACUCAUGUCGCUGGCCCAUCCUCUGCCGCUGGCCGACCAGCCUCCCCCAACCUGAGAAGCCCAGCAGUCCUGUGCUACUAGGAAGCUUCACCCUGGCGAAGGUGCUUUCCCAAGCCUCCAGAGGCCUCUCUGUUCCUGUCAAGCCCAGCUGAGAGCCAUCUCUAGCCAGAAGGGGGACAAGGGAGCAACACACCAGGCCAUUGCAGGCUCUAUGCUGGGCUCAACCUGCCCGGCAGCCAGCAGGAGGAUCUGCACACAGAGGAACACAGUGGAGCCUCUAAGACUGAAAGAGCUGAGCUGUGAGCAGGUUGUGUGCUCUGUCCCAGCCCUCCCCACACCUCUGUGGGACUUAGCUUCCUGGGCAGGCAUCUGCCCCCUGCCCCCACUGUCUCUAGGAAAAAGCCUCCCCAAGGGAGGCCCUGCCAAGUGGAGGAGCUACUAUGGAGCAAGUGCCCCAGGUAGAGCCUUACCCAGGGGGCCCCCAGUUCCUAGUUCAGCGGGAGAGUGGCUGGCAUCUUUUGUACCAUGGAGAAUGAAGGCUUGGGGUACCACAGGCCUUGUUCCAGGCCACGAACUGAAGUCACAUGCCACACUGCUGGUCCUGUGGACCAGAAGCCUCCCUGCUGUCUGGCCAGCCAGCACCACAGGGAAGGGAGUUGACACUAGAGCUGACACAGUAGACAGGACCCCUGCUCCUGUCUCCUCCGCAGCCCCAGUCAUGCACUAACCUCUAUCCAUCCCUUCUUCUAUCCUUCUACUGCCCCAUCACCUUCUACCUCCUCUGCCACUCCCUGUCUAUCCGUCUUUCCUUUUACCCAAUCAAACUCAGACCUCACCAUCAUCACUGUCCCUCUGUCCGUCCACCCGUUGAUCCUUUCUUCUGCAGCUUUUGCUGUCACCCUAGUUAGCUUUAACUGCUCACUUGGCACAAUCCAGAGUCACUGGGAAGGAAGCCUCACUUGGGGGAUUGCCCAGGUCAGCGUGGCCUUUGGGUGUGUCUGCGAGGGGUUGUCCUGAUAUCAUUAAUCAGUACAGGAGGGCCCGGCCCACUGCGGGCGUAACCAUUGCUAGGCAGGGGCGUCUGUGGAAGAAGAGAGCUAGCUGAGCAUGACUCUCUGAGCGAGCCGGCGAGCAGCAUUCCUCUGCGGCUUCUGCUUCAAGUCCCUCCCUGACUCUCCUCAUUGAUGAACCGUGAUCUGGAAGUGUAAGCCGAAUAAGUAACCCCUGUAAGUUGCUUUUGGUUACGCUAUUUACCACAGUGUUGGGAAGGUAAUUAGAGCACACACCAUCCGGGUUACCCUUCCUGCCAGAAAUCCACCUGCCUAUCGGUUCAAAUGCCAUACUUCUGCCCACCCACCAUGUUUUCAUUUCAACCUCCUUCCACCCACCCGCUAUCCAUCCAUCUAUCCAUCCACCCUCUACUCCUUUUUCUGUCCACCAUGCACUCUUCUCUUUAGCCAACCAUCCUUCUACCAUCCAUCCAUCCAUUCAUCCACACCCCGUCCUUCUAUACAUCACCCACCCAUUCAUCCAUCCACCCAUCCAUCCACCUACUUGCCAUCCAUCCAUCCACCCACACCUAUAGGUCUAUCCAUUUAUCCAUUCAUCAUCCAUCCAUCCACUCAUCCACUUAUCCAUCCAUCCACCCACCCGUCCAUCCAUCCAUUCAUCAUUCAUCCACCCACCCACAUAUAGGUCUAUCCAUUUAUCCAUUCAUCAUUCAUCCACCCAUCCAUCCAUCCAUCCAUCCAUCCAUCAACUCACCCAUUCAUCCAUAAGACCAUCUAUCCACCCACAUAUACUUUUAUCCACUUAUCCAUCCAUCCAUCCAUCCAUCCAUCCAUCCAUCCAUCCAUCUAUCCAUCAACUCACCCAUCCAUCCAUAAGUCCAUCUAUCCACCCACAUAUACUUCUAUCCACUUAUCCAUCCAUUCAUCCAUCCAUCCAUCCAUCCAUCCAUCCAUCCAUCCACACAUCUACCCACUCAUGGAUCCACACAUCCAUCCGACCAUUGGCCCUUCCUUCUUUCAACUUUUCAUCCAUCCCUACUCCUCCCCUCAUCAGCAGCCCAUCCCUCCCAGCUCUCACCCUCCCACCCACAGCGUCUGGGGAUCUUUCUCUGGGAGCGCUGUGGUGGGAGUCAGGAGAAGUGCACGUAAUUAGGCUCCUAUUUAUUUGUUGUUCCAAGAAGGCUAAUUGUGAGGUUUGUAAACAGCCCUUUGAUGGCGGGGAACUACUUAAGAGGACAGUUAAAUAAACCGCCCCAGUGCACACAGUCUGGCUACUCAGAUGGGAGAUGCGGGCCUGACGAGGGUAACGGGGCAUAGUCAGCAGGAAAGUCAGCAUAAAGGAUGGUCACCAUAACCUCACGUGUGGGUGCACGCAUGUGUGUACACCACACACGCACACACACACACACAGUGUAGUACCUGUACCUGAGCACCACAGGCCUGGGAAAUGUCACCCUGUGUGUGCACUGUGCAUGGAACUGGAACCCCUAAAGAAGAAGCAGGGACUCAGGGGCCACACUGAACUAACCCUGUCUGUGCAAGAGUAGCCAUGACAGAAAGAAACACACAUGCUCUCAGUGUGCCAGCCCCUGCACCCAGUGCCUCUGUGUACUGUGGGGUUAGCCCUGCCGCUGCCCCUACUCUAGAAGGAAGUUAGGAAGCCCAGAAUGUAACAUCCACUCCUGAGACUCCUGUGAGGGAGAGCAGAUUGUUACAAAGUUAAAUGUUUGGACACAAAGUCUUGCUCUCAACAGCUGCUCAGGUUCUGUGAGUUUAGUCUACAAAGGCUCACACAUAGUUGGCCAAACAUUUGAAAAAAAAAACCCAAUUUCUCCUCCUUUGAAUAUUUAAAAAUCUUUUACAGUUUUAAGCUAUUAGUUUUCUUCUGACUUGUCCAGAUGUCGCAAAGCUUUCUCCCUGAGGAAGGGACUCAGAGUGGCAGUGACUCGGAGAACACCAACUGUCUCUAGAUGGUGCUGUGCCAAUAAAACUUUAUUUAUAAUAGGUGGCAGCUGCUGGGGCUCAGGGCUGGAGUCUGCUGAUUGCUGACAUGGGCAGCACAUACCAACUGUGACAGAAGAAUGGGGACUGACUGGAAAGAGCAUCACAACUGAUGGGAACUUUAGUGGGAUCCUGGAAUUCAGACCUGCAUUUCUAAGACUAUUUACUGAGCCACAUCCCUGGCCCCACUGGAAGAUCAUGAAUUUUUCUUUUGAAAUAGCCCUGACUGUCCUGGACCUUGAUCUGGCCUUGAACUCACAGAGAUCUACCUGCCUCUGCCUCCCCAAUGCUGGGAUCAAGGGCAUGUGCCACCAGCACCUGACAACAUUUUCCUUCAUAAUUAAAAGUUGCAUCUGGGGGUUGGGGAUUUGGCUCAGUGGUAGAGCGCUUGCCUAGGAAGCGCAAGGUCCUGGGUUCGGUCCCCAGCCCCGAAAAAAAGGAAAAAAAAGUUGCAUCUGAUUAUUUAUGCGCGAGGGUAUGUGCACGCAUGCAUCUACUCAGAGCACAAAUUUCAGGAGUUGUGUCUCUCCUUCCAGCAGAUCCUGGGGAUUGAACUCGGAUCUUCAGAUUAGGCAGGAAGCUCCUUUACCUGCUGAACCAAGUCGCCAGCCCACAUGAAGCAUUUUCAAAAGAAGUUUCACUUGGGCCAUUUGCUUUUCGAACUUUCCAGACACCACGGACCAUUUACCCAGGCAGGUUCUGAAGGAAUUUGCAAGCUCCUUAAAUUAAGUUAUGGUCAAUCUUGAUUGUCGUCUUGACUGAAUUAAGACAUGUCUAGUGUGUUGAGAGUGUGAGUGUGCCUCUCAGGAUGUCUGAGGAGGUUUCCAAGAGAAUUGAGGGCAAGUCCCAUCCUGAGUAUAGUCAGCGUCUUCUAUCCCAAGGACGUGGGCUGAGUAGAAAGGAGGAAAGGAUGCCCUGACCCGAGCUGAGCAUGGAUGUCCACCCCCUCCCCACGACGCGCUCCUGGUCCUCUCAGAUGGGAGCAAGCAGUUGUGCCUGCCCCUACAGCCCCAGCACUGCUGCUCACCAUAACUUUUCUGAUAUAAUAGACUGCGUUCCUGAAAACAGUGAGCCAGCAUAAACUCUCCCUCCAUGAAGCUGUCAUAGUGUGUGUGUGUGUGUGUGUGUGUGUGUGUGUGUGUGUGUGUGUCCUCUGCUUGGUUGGCCCCUAUCAGGGACAGCAAGUAUGUUAAAGGUCUUGGAUUAAUUUUGACACCAAAAUGUGUAAACUUUGGACUUAAAAAAAAUGACUGCAGCCAGAAGAUGAUGAAGCACACCUUUUAUUCCGGUACUUGGAGGCAGAGUCAAGCAGAUCUCUGUGAGUUCGAGGCCAGCCUGGUCUACAUAGUGAGCUCCAGCCUCUUGUGGUGCAGUUCUGUGCCCACCCCCAGCGGCUGUUGAGUGACUUCGAGAUGGUAUGUGGCUUGGGCUGCCCUGGAGUUAAGAACAAGGAAGUGAGAGGAGGCAGGGCAGGGUGUGACCGAAUGUUCUUGGGGCUGGUGGGAACAGAGCUGGGUCAGACAGAUCCCCUUUCUGCUAUCCUCCUCAUGCCUUCAUUUCCAAGUCUAGAAAAGCUGUGGGCCUAGAGAGGCACCAGGGGCACCAGGCAGCACUGGCUGAAGUUAAAAGACAAGUGAGAGGCAAGCACUCAGUUGCCACAAAGUCCAACAGCCUGAGUUCAGUUCCCGAGACCCACACGGUGGAAGGAGAGAACCAACUCCUCCGAGUUGUCCUCUUAACCUCCACAUGGCGAUGUGGCAUAUACCCAGCCCAAGUGAGAUCCUGGGAGAAAAUAUUCAGAAUAUAAAUAUAGUUAAAUGACUUGUUUCUACAAUAUGUAGAGAGUACUUGCAGAACAAUAGCAAGCAAUAGCAUAUCCUCUAUAGAAUCACAGAUAGUGUGGGUCAAUUCGUGGGAAAUGGCAGAGAGAUAAAGAAGUGUGGAAGACCUUUGCCCUUGUUGAUCAGGAGAACACAAAUUCAGAUAGCAAUGAACAGACAUUCCUCAUUCCUUAGGUCCACUUAAGUAGAAGAUAGAGGAUACAAAGUAUACUUUCCAGGAAACUGCUUUCCAGGAGAACCAAAAUGUGUGUUUUCUACAGCUUGGCUCUCUCUUCCGUUUUCUCCCUUAGAGAGGCAUCCACACAUAGGCACAAGCAAUGCAGCCCAGGUGGUGCUCUGGGAUCUCCAUCUUGGGUGCCUGCCCACCUUCGUCACUGGCAAUGAGCCUGCAGGAGUCCUGUGCUUGCAAGCAUCCCUUGCAGCUAGGUCUCCAGGAGCAGAUGUGCCCGCCCAGUCUCAGAAGCAGGGGUGGAGCCAAGCAGGCUCACCAACCGGGCAAUAGGAAGAGACUUCAAACACUAAACCGACCGACCUUGAGCCUGACCUUCGGCCACUCUUCUCAAAAAUGGCCUGACUUAGCUGAAAUUUGUCACUGAAACUUAGCACUUGUUCCAACAUGCCCAGGUCACACACAGUAACUUGAGGAAUCCUCACAAGCAUCCUGUGUGACCAGCACCAGGUCAAGGAACACACUCCAGGUCCCCAGAGUCCCCCUGGUGUCUCUUCUUAUGAUGACAAGCCACUCUCCAUGAGGGAGCCAUGCCUAUCUCCAAUACCACCCUGGUAGUGUGAGAUUGCAGGAACAGGUGUACCUGGUAUGUUCUUGUCAGGAGCUGGUUAUAAAAAGGCUGCUGUGAAUGUCUUUACCCUGUCUCCCAUGGCCGUCUAGCGGAUCACUUUGGCCAUCCAUCCAGGUGUAGAGAGGGCCUCUAAACUCGUCCUAAACUGUGUUACCCUGUGAUCAAGGAUGUGAAACACUUUGCACAGUGGCUGGUCCUUUGCACAAGUUCUGUGAUAAAGCACCACCCCCUAAGAGCUUACUGAA